UUGUUAAGGGCUUCAGGCUAGUUGGUAGGUGCUAGGUAAUGUAAAAAGAUUGAUGUCUACCCAGAGAAGCUUGUACAAAAAGAUACUCCAAAAAGAUCAUACUAUCUAUUAACUGUCAGCUGGACUGAUUGCUGUGGACCAAGAAGUAUAGGUGAACCAAUAUAUGUAUGUCUGUUUCUACUGUCACUUGCAGCUCAACAGAACUCUGUAAUAUACAUGAACAAGUUUCUGGAAGUUAUGAGGGAGGAAAAACUGAAUGCUCCACUAUGACUGGGUUAAUUAUCGUCAUGCAGAGUCAGAGCAAAGAAUAUAGACUGUGGGACUCGCAGAUUCUCAGGAAAACGUUAAGGUGGUGACAUGUUACGGUGAUGGGGCUGAUACCGCUUGUCUAGGUACCACACUUUGAGAACCAUCACUCUAAAAGAAGACUGUACAGCUGCAUCGAAAACCUUGCUCUUCCUGAUGUCUCCUAGAUUUAGUAGCAGAGAACUCAAAGGCACAUAUUGUUUUUAAAUAGCUGUGGAUGGUAUGAAUGGAUCAUUUGUAAGCCACAAGCUAUACUGAAUAAGAAUUCAUCGUCUUUAGAAAAUACAACUUUACUAUUCAGACUUUCAAGAGGUAAUAAAAUGCUGAGUGUCCUUCUUCAAUUAAAUAAAAUAACUCCAGCUGAUAUCUAGGAAUAAAAAUGCAUAAAUUCAUGAGUUAAAAUUAUGAUUACAAUUACAUACUUGAAACUUUCUUAGGUUAACAGUUAAUGUAUUUUGUGAGUGGUAGCAAUAAAAUUGUUGAUUGUACUUUAUUAUAUUACUGCUACUGUAAAUCUAAAUUGUCACUGGCAUUGAAAUAGCUUACUUUUAUCCAUGAACAAUAAUGACUUUAUUCCUGUCAGCAUGAUAAUGAUUAGCUCUCAUAAAGGUAAAUACAGCCAUUAUUAAUCCAUCUACUAAUCAUUCUUUCCUGCUAUAGCGGGUGGGAUGAUUGACUCUUCAGAUUAAUUCUAACAACAUAGGUUCCUGUAUAAAAAGAGACAUAAACUAAGAAGGGAGAGCUGCUUAUGUAAAGAAGCACUAAUCUUAGGUCUUAGUUGAAAGAAAAAUAACCUCAAAUUUUCCAAUGUUUCUCCACUUAGUAGCAAGGAGAAAAAUAUCUCAUAAGUGUCACAUAAUUUCUAGGACAAUUUUCUCAUUGUCCUUGGAUUAUUAGUAUUGGAUGCAUUUUUGACAUAUUUUAAUUAGCAAUUAUAUUUAUUAUUCCAGGUCCUUUCACUGUUGUUUUCCUUCCUAUAGCUAUUUUGACAGCAAGUACUCUGAAUAUCCCUAAGUACUCAGAAAUUUUUUAUUUUGUCUUUAGCAGGAAAUUCCACUGAAACAAAAUAGAACAUACCUUUAUGUUCUAUUGAGAGAGUGUAGAAGAAGAAAAUUCUGUAUUGGUUUUGACUAACAGCAAGCUGCCAGAAGAUUUCUUUUUCUCCUAUAGGUUAAUAAGGAGAAAGUAAGUAAUAAGAAAGAUAAGGAGUGGUACAAAGCCAACAGGACUACUUCUCAGUUCAUCCCGAGACUGUUUUUUUAAUUAUAAUUAUUUUAGUUUAAGUGAAUUUCUGCUGUACUGGCCUUGAAUAUAUACAAAUGAAAAAAUAAAAAUACAUUUUAAGAUUGAAAUUACAAGCAUAAAGCAUUUUGUCAGGAUAUAACUAUGAAGAUAUUUUCAUUACUAAAUAUACAAAUAGGCCAGGUGCAGUGGCUCACACCUGUAAGCCCAGCAUUUUGGGGGACCGAGGCAGGCAGAUCGCCUGAAGUCAGGAGUUCGAGACCAGCCUGGCCAUCAUGAAGAAACCCCAUCUCUACUAAGAAUACAAAAUUAGCAGUGUGUGGUGACGCAUGCCUGUAAUCCCAGCUACUCGGGAGGCUGAGGCAGGAGAAUUGCUUGAACCUGGGAAGCAGAGGUUGCUGUCAGCUGACAUUGCGCCAUUGCACUCCAACCUGGGCAACAAGAGCAAAAUUCCAUCUCAAAAAAUAAGUAAAUAAAUAAAUAAUAAUAAUAUAUAUACAUCUUCAUACACAUAUACUUGU